rnacentral:rRNA from 1 species
CAUCGCCAAUGGAGGCGCAGUAUGUAAGCCUCUUGGAAAAGAGCAUCAACGAGGGUGAGAGUCCCGUUUGUCAUCUGCAGUCCCCCAUGCACGGCAUGCCUUCUAAGAGUCGCGUUCCUCGGAAUUGGAGCGUAAAUUGGGUGGUAAAUUUCAUCUCAAGCUAAAUAUUGGUUCGAGACCGAUAGCAAACAAGUACCAUGAGGGAAAGGUGAAAAGGACUUUGAAAAGAGAGUUAAAAGUGCCUGAAAUUGCUGAAAGGGAAGCGAAUGGAACCAGUGUUGCUUGGCGUAGAUUGUCGUACGCAUUCGCGUGUGGUGGUUCUUGCCUUGUGUGUCAACGCCAGUUCGCGUAUCGAGGGAAAACUCCAGGGACAUGGUAGCCUGUCUCCGGGUGGGUGAAUGUGCUUGGUAGAACUCAUUUGCGGACUGAUUCCUUUCGUGUCUGGUUGCAGUGCUGCUUGAUCUUGUGUUGGUACCUUGGUGAAUAGGGCUCUGUGCC